rnacentral:rRNA from 1 species
AUUGAACGCUGGCGGCAGGCCUAACACAUGCAAGUCGAGCGAGCGGCGGACGGGUGAGUAAUGUAUGGGGACCUGACCGAUAGAGGGGGAUAACUCUUGGAAACGGUGGCUAAUACCGCAUACUAUCGGUUGAACCCUUACGGGCUUAGCUAGUAGGUGGGGUAAAGGCUCACCUAGGAGACGAUCGCUAGCUGUUCUGAGAGGAUGAUCAGCCACACUGGGACUGAGACACGGCCCAGACUCCUACGUGAGGCAGCAGUAGGGAAUAUUGCACAAUGGGCGCAAGCCUGAUGCAGCCAUGCCGCGUGUAUGAAGAAGGCCUUAGGGUUGUAAAGUACUGUCAGCGGAGAGGCGUUACCCGCAGAAGAAGCACCGGCUAACUACGUGCCAGCAGCCGCGGUAAUUC